rnacentral:rRNA from 1 species
UACGGAGGAUCCAAGCGUUAUCCGGAUUUAUUGGGUUUAAAGGGUGCGUAGGCGGUUUGAUAAGUUAGAGGUGAAAUACCGGUGCUCAACACCGGAACUGCCUCUAAUACUGUUGAACUAGAGAGUAGUUGCGGUAGGCGGAAUGUAUGGUGUAGCGGUGAAAUGCUUAGAGAUCAUACAGAACACCGAUUGCGAAGGCAGCUUACCAGUCUGCGACUGACGCUCAGGCACGAAAGUGUGGGUAUCGAACAGG